AGUGAACGCUGGCGGUAGGCCUAACACAUGUAAGUCGAACGGCAGCACAGUAAGAGCUUGCUCUUACGGGUGGCGAGUGGCGGACGGGUGAGGAAUACAUCGGAAUCUACUUUUUCGUGGGGGAUAACGUAGGGAAACUUACGCUAAUACCGCAUACGACCUACGGGUGAAAGCAGGGGAUCUUCGUACCUUGCGCGAUUGAAUGAGCCGAUGUCGGAUUAGCUAGUUGGCGGGGUAAAGGCCCACCAAGGCGACGAUCCGUAGCUGGUCUGAGAGGAUGAUCAGCCACAAUGGAACUGAGACACGGUCCAGACUCCUACGGGAGGCAGCAGUGGGGAAUAUUGGACAAAGGGCGCAAGCCUGAUCCAGCCAUACCGAGUGGGUGAAGAAGGCCUUCGGGUUGUAAAGCCCUUUUGUUGGGAAAGAAAAGCAGCAGGUUAAUACCCCGCUGUUCUGACGGUACCCAAAGAAUAAGCACCGGCUAACUUCGUG
rnacentral:rRNA from 1 species